GACGAACGCUGGCGGCGUGCCUAAUACAUGCAAGUUGAGCGAUGAAGAUUGGUGCUUGCACCAAUUUGAAGAGCAGCGAACGGGUGAGUAACGCGUGGGGAAUCUGCCUUUGAGCGGGGGACAACAUUUGGAAACGAAUGCUAAUACCGCAUAAUAACUUUAAACAUAAGUUUUAAGUUUGAAAGAUGCAAUUGCAUCACUCAAAGAUGAUCCCGCGUUGUAUUAGCUAGUUGGUGAGGUAAAGGCUCACCAAGGCGAUGAUACAUAGCCGACCUGAGAGGGUGAUCGGCCACAUUGGGACUGAGACACGGCCCAAACUCCUACGGGAGGCAGCAGUAGGGAAUCUUCGGCAAAGGACGAAAGUCUGACCGAGCAACGCCGCGUGAGUGAAGAAGGUUUUCGGAUCGUAAAACUCUGUUGGUAGAGAAGAACGUUGGUGAGAGUGGAAAGCUCAUCAAGUGACGGUAACUACCCAGAAAGGGACGGCUAACUACGUG
rnacentral:rRNA from 1 species